rnacentral:tRNA from 1 species
GUCCCUGUAGUGCAAUGGCUAGCACGCUGGACUUCUAAUUCAAAGGUCAUGGGCUCGAAUCCCACCUGGGAUG